CAAUACGUCAGCGGCAGACGGGUGAGUAACGCGUGGGAACGUACCUUUUGGUUCGGAACAACACAGGGAAACUUGUGCUAAUACCGGAUAAGCCCUUACGGGGAAAGAUUUAUCGCCGAAAGAUCGGCCCGCGUCUGAUUAGCUAGUUGGUGAGGUAACGGCUCACCAAGGCGACGAUCAGUAGCUGGUCUGAGAGGAUGAUCAGCCACAUUGGGACUGAGACACGGCCCAA
rnacentral:rRNA from 1 species